AGUGAACGCUGGCGGUAGGCCUAACACAUGCAAGUCGAACGGCAGCACAGUAAGAGCUUGCUCUUACGGGUGGCGAGUGGCGGACGGGUGAGGAAUACAUCGGAAUCUACUUUUUCGUGGGGGAUAACGUAGGGAAACUUACACUAAUACCGCAUACGACCUACGGGUGAAAGCAGGGGAUCUUCGGACCUUGCGCGAUUGAAUGAGCCGAUGUCGGAUUAGCUAGUUGGCGGGGUAAAGGCCCACCAAGGCGACGAUCCGUAGCUGGUCUGAGAGGAUGAUCAGCCACACUGGAACUGAGACACGGUCCAGACUCCUACGGGAGGCAGCAGUGGGGAAUAUUGGGCAAUGGGCGCAAGCCUGAUCCAGCCAUACCGCGUGGGUGAAGAAGGCCUUCGGGUUGUAAAGCCCUUUUGUUGGGAAAGAAAAGCAGCAGGUUAAUACCCCGCUGUUCUGACGGUACCCAAAGAAUAAGCACCGGCUAACUUCGUG
rnacentral:rRNA from 1 species